rnacentral:rRNA from 1 species
CCUACGGGUGGCUGCAGUGAGGAAUAUUGGUCAAUGGGCGCUAGCCUGAACCAGCCAAGUCGCGUGAAGGAUGACUGCCCUAUGGGUUGUAAACUUCUUUUAUAUGGGAAUAAAGUGCAGUAUGUAUACUGCUUUGCAUGUACCUUAUGAAUAAGGAUCGGCCAACACCGUUCCAGCCGCCGCGGUUAUACGGAGGAUUGGAGCGUUAACCGGAUUUAUUGGGGUUAAAGGGAGCGUAGGCGGGUGGUUAAGUCAGUUGUGAAAGUUUGCGGCUCAACCGUCAAACUGCAGUUGAAACUGGCAUCCUUGAGUACAGGAGAGGUAGGCGGAAUUCGUGGUGUAGCGGUGAAAUGCUUAGAUAUCACGAAGAACCCCGAUUGCGAAGGCAGCCUGCUGGACUGUAACUGACGCUGAUGCUCGAAAGUGUGGGUAUCAAACAGGAUUAGAUACCCUUGUAGUC